rnacentral:rRNA from 1 species
UUGGCUAUCACUCUGGGAUGGGCCUGCGGAGCAUUAGCUAGUUGGUAAGGUAACGGCUUACCAAGGCGAUGAUGCAUAGCCGAGUUGAGAGACUGAUCGGCCACAAUGGAACUGAGACACGGUCCAUACUCCUACGGGAGGCAGCAGUAGGGAAUCUUCCACAAUGGGCGCAAGCCUGAUGGAGCAACACCGCGUGAGUGAAGAAGGGUUUCGGCUCGUAAAGCUCUGUUGUUGGAGAAGAACGUGCGUGAGAGUAACUGUUCACGCAGUGACGGUAUCCAACCAGAAAGUCACGGCUAACUACGUGCCAGCAGCCGCGGUAAUACGUAGGUGGCAAGCGUUAUCCGGAUUUAUUGGGCGUAAAGCGAGCGCAGGCGGUUGCUUAGGUCUGAUGUGAAAGCCUUCGGCUUAACCGAAGAAGUGCAUCGGAAACCGGGCGACUUGAGUGCAGAAGAGGACAGUGGAACUCCAUGUGUAGCGGUGGAAUGCGUAGAUAUAUGGAAGAACACCAGUGGCGAAGGCGGCUGUCUGGUCUGCAACUGACGCUGAGGCUCGAAAGCAUGGGUAGCGAACAGGAUUAGAUACCCUGGUAGUCCAUGCCGUAAACGAUGAGUGAUAGGUGUUGGAG